AUAUUUUUACAAGCAGCACCCUGUCUCUACUUAUGGUUUCUCCUUGAUUUCCCUGUCACUCAAAAGAUCCUGGUAUUGCAUUCUGGUUUUUUACAAAAACUUCUUUUUUUUUUUUUUUUUUUUUUUUUUUUUUCAGAGAGAGAAUUAUUUGAUAGGCUUUUUGUGUUUUCUCCCCUAUAAACUUUCAGAUCUCCACUUUGUGUUUGAAAUCCUCCCUAUGAGAAUUUGCCAACCAGUUUUUUGGGUUUACUCAAGUUCACUGCUGUUGUCUGACUGACUGUUAUCAUGAAGCAUGGAAGCCCUCAGACCAUCUCUGCAUCAAGUGUUCUCUAGGAUGAGAGCCAUUAAUCUGUCACAUCAAGCCACUGCUGGCAGAUUGCAUCCUACGCCUCUCUCAGAAGUCCCCUUUCUGGACUCAGUAGUCUCUGAUGCAAUACUACGCUUUCUAAGGCUCAGUUGUCCAUGCAUUUCUAAUGAAGUGGCUGAAAUAUGAAGCUCAGAAACAAAAUGGCAAAGUAUGUUACAGACUAGCAAUUUUGGUUGAUGCAUUCUCUUCCUGGUGAGUUUACAUCUACUACCUUACAAGAGAACACAGUAACUAACAACUGCUAAAGAUGGAGGAGAGUUUCUUCCGAUGAAAAAGAAUGAAAGCUCAAUGAUUUCUUCAAAACCAUCCUCCUCUUGCUGAAGACAAGAAGUAGGAGAAAAAUGCUGGUAGCAGACAUUUUAAAGCUCAAAGUGAUUUGAACAUUUCU
ensembl:lncRNA